rnacentral:ncRNA from 1 species
GAGCAACUUAGGAUUUUAGGCUCCGCCCCUCCCCCCAUGGGAGACGGCGACAAACCGACGCAAGGCUGGCGGUCUUGCGAACGGUCAAAAUCUAUCCGCCGGAG